rnacentral:rRNA from 1 species
CACGUAGGGUGCGAGCGUUGUCCGGAAUUAUUGGCGUAAAGAGCUCGUAGGCGGUGUGUCGCGUCGCCGUGAAAACCUGCAGCUUAACUGUGGCUGCGGUCGAUACGGGCAUCACUGGAGUUCGGCAGGGGAGACUGGAAUUCCUGGUGUAGCGGUGAAAAUGCGCAGAUAUCAGGAGGAACACCGGUGGCGAAAGGCGGGUCUCUGGGCCGAUACUGACGCUGAGGAGCGAAAGCGUGGGGAGCGAAACAG